AGUUAAACAGUAAUAAGGGAGAAAUAUUUACAGUGAAAACAAUGGCUCCUACACUCACCCCCAUAGCACCUACUAUGGAUUCAAGUUUCAUUGUCAUCCUGGGUGUAUUUGACAGCAGUUCCAUUACUUGUACAAGUACCAUCAAAAUGUGUUAUUCUUGAUCCAAUUCUGUCAUUUGAAGGUCACAUUAAUGGAGGGAUGAGAAGUGCUCAGCUCUGUACAGAACUGCUAGAUUCUGCUUGAUUUGCAAAAUGGGAAAAUGUCUUUUUGCCCCCUAGGUUUGUGUUAGUAGAUGAUCAUGUUUCAGAGGUGAAAUAUGAAACAAAAAUUGAGGCAUUUGAGAAUAAAAAGCUCAAUUUUAUUGUGCUUUACUCACAAGGAAUGACAUGUGCAAAUUAGAAAGCCCUAUAGAAUGGAACCUAUUGAUUAUACUACUAAAAUAUUUGUAUGCCAUCAUAUUUAGAAAACCUUUCAACAUCCUCCCCAUAGAGGUGGUAUGGGCUUGCCCGACUUAAUUACUUUAGUGAUUGGUGUGGAUGUAUGUAUGCAUGGGCAGCAAAAAAAAAAAAAAAAAAAAAAGGAAUUACCCAGAUGUCAAAUAGUGAAAAUAAUGAAAUAUGACACGUGUUCUGAAAGAUCAGCUUGCUUCGGUUUCCUCUUUCCUCUUCUACAUUGAACAGAAUUCUAGUAUAACAGGAAAAAAGUUAACUUGUUAACAUACAGUCCAGUUCUUUCUUCUUUCAAGAAAAUGAAAUCUAUUGUCUGUGAAUGAAAUCUCUGUCUAAAUGAUGUCACUAGGGCCACACAUACUUUCUUAUUUCUUUAGAGUUCUUGUCAGUUCCUGAUACAGUGAAUGCUCAAAUAGUGCUGAUUUUCUGAUUAUACGUCUGUCUACCAUCUCAGUUGAACUAAGUAGAAAUAUGUAAAAUAACGGAGAGUCCGCUUCAGUCAUUCUUUUAUCACUAAGUGAAGACCAUUUUAGAGUUUCUCCUUCCUCACAGACCAAAGUAGAACUUAUAAACCCAUGGAUUUGAAAAGCUUAAGGUUAUUUGAGAGUGUCCAGUCCAUUGGUUCUCAACCCUAUUAGACUCAAAGCUCCCUUUCAUACCAAAUAGGUUAUCACACAAACUCUAUGAAAUGAAAUUCAUAGAAAAUAUAACCUGCCCAUAAUCAUCAUCUCAAGAAAUUAAUAUCACGCAGGAAUAUAGAGAUAAAAGUAAUUUGUGAUAGAAGAAUAUAUACACCUGCGUGCAAAUAAACACUCAUGUGCCACUAAAGCAGAGGACACUGUGAACAUAUUUCAUCUGGCACUUACAUACAGGGCACUGUGAAGGCACAGCUAUAAAUGCAAUCUUACAAAUGUAUUAACAACACAAAUUACCAUGGGUGAUAUGAAUUUCUAUGGUCAUGAAUAACUUUUAAUAAAGUUGUGAACAAAAGAGAGCACACUAUUUCAUUGUAUGGUAUUUGCACCGCUGGAAAUUUUUUAUGACUAUUAAAACUUAGCCAGAAAUAUUUUGUGUUCAUAAUUCAGUGGGGUUAGGUUUUGGGGUUGGAUAAUUACCGACAGGAUUUGCCUUUUGAAACUUCCCCUCGAAGCUCUAUACAAUGGGAGGCUUCCCUUCUCUCCCUCCCCAUGUCCUGUGCACUGCCAGGUGUUUACUAUUCCUGGCUUUCACCCAAUGGAUAGUUAUAGGCCACGCAAACGUCUUUAUACCCCAAAAUUGCAUAUCCACAAGUGUUCAGAAGCCCAUAGGGGCAUUACUGCUUCUGUUGAGAAUCUCUGUCUAAUCCAGCACCUUUAUUUUCUAGACGAAGAGACUAGAGAUUUUUAGGUAACUUUCCUGAAGUUACACAACUAGUACAGAAUCUAGCUGAACUAAGUGAUAAACUUAGGUUUUGGAUUAUACUGAAUCUGAUCUUAUGCCAACACAGAAGCUCUGAUACAGGUGGUGUUGAGUGGAACAGUGCUCCUGGGAACAAUGGCUGUAAUCUCGCCAAGGAUACUGCAUGCAUAUGUUAAAGUAGCCCAGACAGACAUCCCAGAGGAUCAGUUUAUUUCCUGAAUGCAAAUAAACCAAAUCUGCACCCUCUAUUCCCACUAAUCCCAUCCAUCGUCCUGUUGUCUACUCAGACAAUCUUCCCUCCCACUCUUGGAAAUAAACAUCUUCCAAGCCUUUCCAAGAGCUUCAGAUAAAUACCCCCUUCUAUCUGACGAACAUAUCAUUUCCUCUCUGAGCAGCUUCCAAGCCUCUUCUUCAUCACUUUUUCCAGAAAUAUUUCCCAUUGUUCACAGUGCUUACAGAAUUGCAUGUCACCUCCCCCAUAAUUGCACUUCUCUACAUGUACUAGUUUUGCCUGUAUGUCAAUGAAGAGUUUAUUUUCACUGGUUUUAUCUGUCCUCCUAAUUGAUCAAUCCUGAAGGGACAACUAAUUCCAAGCAUCUAAUGCUAUGUUAGCACCCUGUGGCCACUCCACAAAUAGUUGACUGAUUUAUACCAAAUUGAGGACUGGGAAAGCCACGAUUCUAAUGGUAACUUAAUACAGGCCACAAAAAUAAUGAGCUUAUGUAGAAUGUAAACAUCUCCGGUUCCUUCAAAUAUUAGUGAUAAAUUACAAACUCUUCUUUGGAAUGCAUUUCAUGACAUUUGAUUAUUGAAGUUCCUGAACCAGUGACCAUUUUGUCCUAGUUGCUAUGGGCCAUCUCCAGGGAGAAUUCUGUAGCACUCUUCACAGUGGAAACUGAUAAGUAGAAGGGUCAUCCAAUUAGUUGCCAUUGCUCCAGGCAAAACUCUACUUAAACUGUCAUCAAUUCUUAACACUCUUCAGAGAAAGAGAUCCUACUACACCCCACAGUAACCAGACCCUUAUGUCAAGAAUUCAUCCUCUCUCUCUCUCAAAAACAAAACAAAACAGAAAAGCACUCUCAUUUCAAAUUAUUUAUUUUUCAUUUAACAUUAUUGGAAAAAAACAACCUUAAGCUAAGAUGAGUAGUAUGAAACAAUUAAUAAAUUUGAAAGUGUUAAGCUACUUGUUUACUUUCAUUGUGUUAAAGAGCAGUGACUUUUUUUUCCCUUUCUAAUAUCACUCCCACCGCUACAACUUAAACCAACUGUGCACUGAGUUAUUGUUGUUUUUUUUAUGUGUACAACUGCUUUCUUCUCUGCCUCUUGCCAUUUAUUAACAAAUAUUUAGUGAGCACCCCCUGUGAAAUAAAUUUAGUCCUCAUCCCUGAGAAAUUAAAGAUACUAAAAGUUCACUCCUACCCUUAAAGACCAUACCACAUAGGUCUAAGAAUUUAUUAUCAAAUUAAACCAGAAGUACACAAUAAUAUUUAAUAUACACAUUAAGUAGCACAGAAUUCUAUCAGCAUGUAGCAAUCUACAUCAAUCUACCCUGUCAUUUAUUCCAUUCAUCCAUCCAACCAAUAUCUAUUUCCAUAUUUUGCACCAGGCAUAGACACUGGGGUGGGGUUCCAAUAGUGAAUAAAAUAUUUAAAAGCUCCCUGUUCAUAAAAUUUACAUUGUAAUGAGUUAGAAAGAUGCUGAUCAAAAAUAUCAAAUACAUUUAUAACUGCUUAUUGAAAAAUACCAUAGAAUAGUUAAUGCUAUGACUUAGUUUGGAGAGCAAGGUAUAAGAGUGGAAAGAUAAUUUUCAAACGACAGUAUUAAACUUUAACUUAGUAGGACCUAAUUAGGGGAAGGUCGGGGAAGGAAAAUAAUCCAGAUGAAGAAACAACACUUGCCAAGCCCAGGAAACAAAAAAGAAGAAACAGUUGGAGGACCAAGGGUCAGGUUUCCAGCAUAUGGAAAACAAGAGGGAAAAGGUUCUUUCUCAAGUUGAAAUGGGAGUCAGGAGCCAGAUUGUUGAGUGCCCCAUGGGCCAUGAUAAAAAUAUAGUUUUCUCUACUAAGGAAAAUUGGUAACUAGUGAAGACGAACUAUGUAUCUUGAAUGUAUGUGUUCAUUGGCAUUGUGGAGAAUUCUCUGAAAAAAGCCAGAGGAGAUGUGUGGAAACCCAUAAAAGGAUUACACAGCAUAUUAGAGAUAUAAUUAGAAUUUGGGAUUAAUAGUGACAGUGGAAAGAGGCAGGAUGGGUCUGAAAAGCAUUUAGGAGAUAAAAUUAACAGUUAUUUUUGAUGUAUUGGAUUUGGGUAUGUGUGUGGGCUCUUCCUUUUCUAGCAUCUGUGUAGUAGGAUGAAGAUUGAGACUCCACUGUUGCCUUUAGUAAGAGGAGAAUUUCUGGAUCCCUUUAUAACAGUUAUUACAGUACAGUGAUGGAGGCAGAAGCCAGACUGAAUGAUAGUGAAAGGUGAGAAAACAGAACUAAUGAGUAUAUGUAAACAACUUUCUAGGCAAGCCUUGCCAUGAAUGGGAAGAAGAAAGAUAGGAUAAUAGGUUAGAGGAGAGGGAGGUUGGAGAAAUAAGUAUUUUAUGUGUUGAUGGGCAGAUCACUAUAUAAAAAAAUGUUUAGAUGCAGGGGACAGAGCAUAUACCAAGUAGUAAAAGGUUCCUGAGAAGGUUAGGUAGAAUGAAAUCAGGGUAUGGUGGACUUCAACCUGGAAGAUGUAUACCUUCUCUGUUGUUAUUGAAAGAAAUGAGGGGGAAAUGGUUACAAGGAUAUUUUUGAUACUGAGAACUUGGAUUAAUUCCCAGCUGAUAUAUCCUAUUUUCUCUGAGAAUUUGGUGGCCUGACAUCUGUUAAGGGUGAUAAGAAAAUAAUGUAAUAAAAUCAGAGUUUUGGAAACAGAAAGAUCUGAAAUGGGAUACUUGACUGUGUGAUUUUAUUGAUGGAACAAUGUCAGUUAAAACAAGAUUCUGGCAGAGUUCCCACUGUGGCUCAGCAGAAAUGAAUCCAACUAGGAACCAUGAGGUUGCGUGUUUGAUCUCUGGCCUCACUCAGUGGGUUAAGAAUCUCGCGUUGCCAUGAGCUGUGGUGUAGGUCACAGACAUGGCUCAGAUCCUGUAUUGCUCUGGCUGUGGCAGAGGCUGCCAGCUGCAGCUCUGAUUCAGCCCCUAGCCUGGGUACCUCCAUAUGCC
rnacentral:lncRNA from 1 species